rnacentral:rRNA from 1 species
CAAGUUUUUAAGGGCGCACGGUGGAUGCCUUGGCACCAGGAACCGAUGAAGGACGUGGGAGGCCACGAUAGUCCCCGGGGAGUCGUCAACCAGGCUUUGAUCCGGGGGUUUCCGAAUGGGGAAACCCGGCAGUCGUCAUGGGCUGUCACCCGCUGCUGAACACAUAGGCAGUGUGGAGGGAACGCGGGGAAGUGAAACAUCUCAGUACCCGCAGGAAGAGAAAACAACCGUGAUUCCGGGAGUAGUGGCGAGCGAAACCGGAUGAGGCCAAACCGUAUACGUGUGAGACCCGGCAGGGGUUGCGUGUGCGGGGUUGUGGGAUCUCUCUUUCACAGUCUGCCGGCUGUGAGACGAGUCAGAAACCGUUGAUGUAGGCGAAGGACAUGCGAAAGGUCCGGCGUAGAGGGUAAGACCCCCGUAGUCGAAACAUCAGCGGCUCGUUUGAGAGACACCCAAGUAGCACGGGGCCCGAGAAAUCCCGUGUGAAUCUGGCGGGACCACCCGUUAAGCCUAAAUAUUCCCUGGUGACCGAUAGCGGAUAGUACCGUGAGGGAAUGGUGAAAAGUACCGCGGGAGCGGAGUGAAAUAGUACCUGAAACCGUGUGCCUACAAGCCGUGGGAGCGUCGCGCAAGGAACUUGUUCCUUGCGUCGUGACUGCGUGCCUUUUGAAGAAUGAGCCUGCGAGUUUGCGGUGCGUUGCGAGGUUAACCCGUGUGGGGAAGCCGUAGCGAAAGCGAGUCCGAACAGGGCGAUUCAGUAGCGCGCUCAAGACCCGAAGCGGAGUGAUCUAGCCAUGGGCAGGUUGAAGCGGCUGUAAGAGGUCGUGGAGGACCGAACCCACCAGGGUUGAAAACCUGGGGGAUGACCUGUGGUUAGGGGUGAAAGGCCAAUCAAACUCCGUGAUAGCUGGUUCUCCCCGAAAUGCAUUUAGGUGCAGCGUCGUGUGUUUCUUGCCGGAGGUAGAGCACUGGAUAGGCGAUGGGCCCUACCGGGUUACUGACCUUAGCCAAACUCCGAAUGCCGGUAAGUGAGAGCGCGGCAGUGAGACUGUGGGGGAUAAGCUCCAUGGUCGAGAGGGAAACAGCCCAGAGCAUCGACUAAGGCCCCUAAGCGUACGCUAAGUGGGAAAGGAUGUGGAGUCGCAGAGACAACCAGGAGGUUGGCUUAGAAGCAGCCACCCUUGAAAGAGUGCGUAAUAGCUCACUGGUCAAGUGAUUCCGCGCCGACAAUGUAGCGGGGCUCAAGCGUACCGCCGAAGUCGUGUCAUUCAUACAUUAGGGCCAACGCCUGUAUGGAUGGGUAGGGGAGCGUCGUGUGCCGGGUGAAGCUGCAGCGGAAGCUAGUGGUGGACGGUUCACGAGUGAGAAUGCAGGCAUGAGUAGCGAUACAUACGUGAGAAACGUGUGCGCCGAUUGACUAAGGGUUCCUGGGUCAAGCUGAUCUGCCCAGGGUAAGUCGGGACCUAAGGCGAGGCCGACAGGCGUAGUCGAUGGAUAACCGGUUGAUAUUCCGGUACCCGCUGUGAAGCGUCAAACAUCGAGCCCAUUAAUGCUAAGGCCGUGAAGCCGUCCCGGAGCCUUCGGGCAAAGGGAAGUGGUGGAGCCGCCGACCCAAGGUGGUAGUAGGUGAGUGAUGGGGUGACGCAGGAAGGUAGUCCAGCCCGGGCGGUGGUUGUCCCGGGGUAAGGGUGUAGGACGCGAGGUAGGUAAAUCCGCCUUGCAUUAAGUCUGAGACCUGAUGCCGAGCCGAUUGUGGUGAAGUGGAUGAUCCUAUGCUGUCGAGAAAAGCCUCUAGCGAGUUUCAUGGCGGCCCGUACCCUAAACCGACUCAGGUGGUCAGGUAGAGAAUACCGAGGCGUUCGGGUGAACUAUGGUUAAGGAACUCGGCAAAAUGCCCCCGUAACUUCGGGAGAAGGGGGGCCAUCACCGGUGAUGACAUUUACUGUCUGAGCUGGGGGUGGCCGCAGAGACCAGCGAGAAGCGACUGUUUACUAAAAACACAGGUCCGUGCGAAGCCGUAAGGCGAUGUAUACGGACUGACGCCUGCCCGGUGCUGGAACGUUAAGGGGACCGGUUAGUCAGGAUUCGUCCUGGCGAAGCUGAGAACUUAAGCGCCAGUAAACGGCGGUGGUAACUAUAACCAUCCUAAGGUAGCGAAAUUCCUUGUCGGGUAAGUUCCGACCUGCACGAAUGGCGUAACGACUUCUCGACUGUCUCAACCAUAGGCCCGGUGAAAUUGCACUACGAGUAAAGAUGCUCGUUUCGCGCAGCAGGACGGAAAGACCCCGGGACCUUUACUACAGUUUGAUAUUGGUGUUCGGUUCGGCUUGUGUAGGAUAGGUGGGAGACUUUGAAGCGGGCACGCCAGUGUUCGUGGAGUCAACGUUGAAAUACCACUCUGGUCGUGCUGGAUGUCUAACCUGGGUCCGUGAUCCGGAUCAGGGACAGUGUCUGAUGGGUAGUUUAACUGGGGCGGUUGCCUCCCAAAGAGUAACGGAGGCGCCCAAAGGUUCCCUCAGCCUGGUUGGUAAUCAGGUGUUGAGUGUAAGUGCACAAGGGAGCUUGACUGUGAGACCGACGGGUCGAGCAGGGACGAAAGUCGGGACUAGUGAUCCGGCGGUGGCUUGUGGAAGCGCCGUCGCUCAACGGAUAAAAGGUACCCCGGGGAUAACAGGCUGAUCUUCCCCAAGAGUCCAUAUCGACGGGAUGGUUUGGCACCUCGAUGUCGGCUCGUCGCAUCCUGGGGCUGGAGUCGGUCCCAAGGGUUGGGCUGUUCGCCCAUUAAAGCGGUACGCGAGCUGGGUUUAGAACGUCGUGAGACAGUUCGGUCCCUAUCCGCUGUGCGCGUAGGAAUAUUGAGAAGGGCUGUCCCUAGUACGAGAGGACCGGGACGGACGAACCUCUGGUGUGCCAGUUGUCCUGCCAAGGGCAUGGCUGGUUGGCUACGUUCGGAAAGGAUAACCGCUGAAAGCAUCUAAGCGGGAAGCCUGCUUCAAGAUGAGUAUUCCCACCCCCUUUGAGGGGUUAAGGCUCCCAGUAGACGACUGGGUUGAUAGGCCAGAUCUGGAAGCCCGGUAACGGGUGGAGGUGACUGGUACUAAUAGGCCGAGGGCUUGUCC